UCCGCAUUCCCCGGACUGUCGGC
rnacentral:piRNA from 1 species